GCUGGAUGUGGGGGAGGGCAGUGCAGAAGAGAAGGCUAAUCAUCUAACUCAGGAACUGCAUGGAGGCCUAAAGAAAGAACAGUACAUUCUUAGCACAGCUUGUGCUUCACAGUCUUCAACAAUCCAAUGUGCUAAGCAGAUAAUAGCAUUGGCAACGUUAGUCUCACUUUUUGGAUGAAACAAUGGCUCCCAUCUGUGGACUUACAGGUCUUUUCCACAGAGGCUGGGCAGGUCUGUGGCAGAACUGGCAGAGGGACACCACCCCUGCCCGACACUUCCUUGUUUAAAGGGGCUCUUGUGGAACUUUUGGAACUUGGAAUAGAACCCCUGGAAAUCACCUCCUCAUUUUCAGGAGAGGAUCAAGACCCUGAGUCUGGUGACGUUUGCAUGACUGGUGCCAGAAGAACAAUGAGCCAGGCUGGGGAACUUCAGCUGAAGAAUGUAGAUGCUACCAAGCUCAGCACCCAAUGGCUUCUAAUAAAACCCAAGUGACACUCUGGCAGAAAUGGAGCCCUUACCCAUUCAUCAACGAGUAAAUGGCUUUCUCUUUUCACCAGUUAACUUAGCAAAUAGCCACUGGAAACCUCUUCUGUAUUUGCAGAGACCUCUAUGUGGGGUUUAGAAGAAUAGAUUCUUGCUCUCAAAACUCUGCAGUCUCAGAAGGGAAGACUGUUCAAACGAGCCAAUUUAAUGCUAUACUGUUAUAGAAAUUGGGUAAGAGGGACAGAGAAGGCCUUAGGAGGAGACUCCUUGUGUGUGUGUGUGUGUGUGUACGUGCGUGGGGUGGAGGGUAUAUCAUAUCAAUUUCUAUAUAGACAUAAACUAUCUUAUCAAGAAAUACUUGGUGUGUUUCUACAUUUACAGUGAGCUCCCUUGAAUGUAUAUCCUGGUGACUUUGGGGAAUAUAUCUAGCCAGUUAACUUCUAGCACUGGAAUUGUUUGGUUAAAGGGAGAACAUUUCCAAAUUUAUUUUCCAAGAAGUUUGCGCUGGUUUCCUCUCCCUCCCUUUUCCUCCCUUCCCCACACAUCCCCCAGGUCCUUAACAGCUGGCUGCAACAAGCAUCUUGUGCGAGGAUGCUGAGUCACUUCAGUUGUGUCCGACUCUUUGAGGCCCAAUGGACCAUAGCCCGCCAGGCUCCUCUGUCCAUGGGAUUCUCCAGGCAGGACUACUGGAGUGGAUUGCCAUGCCCUCCUCCAGGGGAUCUUCCUGACCCAGGGACUGAACCCAGGUCUCUUACGUGUCCUGCAUUGACAGGUGAGUACUUUACUACUAGCGCCACCUGGCUGGCAGGAUCUGCUUCCUGACUGAGGGUCAGACCCACAC
rnacentral:lncRNA from 1 species